UACGUAGGGGGCAAGCGUUGUCCGGAUUUAUUGGGCGUAGAGAGCGUGUAGGCGGCUUUACAGGUCCGUUGUGAAAACUCGAGGCUCAACCUCGAGACGCCGGUGGAAACCGUAAAGCUAGAGUCCGGAAGAGGAGAGUGGAAUUCCUGGUGUAGCGGUGAAAUGCGCAGAUAUCAGGAGGAACACCCGUGGCGAAAGCGGCUCUCUGGGACGGUACUGACGCUGAGACGCGAAAGCGUGGGGAGCAAACAGG
rnacentral:rRNA from 1 species